rnacentral:rRNA from 1 species
UACGAAGGGGGCUAGCGUUGUUCGGAAUUACUGGGCGUAAAGCGCACGUAGGCGGAUAUUUAAGUCAGGGGUGAAAUCCCAGAGCUCAACUCUGGAACUGCCUUUGAUACUGGGUAUCUUGAGUAUGGAAGAGGUAAGUGGAAUUGCGAGUGUAGAGGUGAAAUUCGUAGAUAUUCGCAGGAACACCAGUGGCGAAGGCGGCUUACUGGUCCAUAACUGA